CCCCCGCUUUUCCUCCCUGAGCGGGUGCCUUUGUGUGUGACAGCAAAAAGGCUUCCAAACCUGGCUCCUCUAGAGCCAGGUUUUUUUU
rnacentral:ncRNA from 1 species